rnacentral:rRNA from 1 species
UUGGAGGGCAAGUCUGGUGCCAGCAGCCGCGGUAAUUCCAGCUCCAAUAGCGUAUAUUAAAGUUGUUGCAGUUAAAAAGCUCGUAGUUGAAUUUCGGGAUCAGUACGCUGGUCGUGCCUUCGGUAUGAACUGGUGUCACUGGUUCCUCCCUUCUGAAGAACCGUCAUGCCAUUCAGUUGGUGUGGCGGGGAAUCAGGACUGUUACUUUGAAAAAAUUAGAGUGUUUAAAGCAGGCUCGCGCUUGAAUACAUUAGCAUGGAAUAAUGAAAUAGGACGUUUGACCCUAUUUUGUUGGUUUCUAGGAUCGACGUAAUGAUUAAUAGGGAUAGUUGGGGGCAUUAGUAUUCAAUUGUCAGAGGUGAAAUUCUUGGAUUUAUUGAAGACUAACUACUGCGAAAGCGUUUGCCAAGGAUGUUUUCAUUAAUCAAGAACGAAAGUUAGGGGAUCGAAGACGAUCAGAUACCGUCGUAGUCUUAACCAUAAACUAUGCCGACUAGGGAUCGGAUGAUGUUAAUUUUUUAAUGACUCAUUCGGCGCCUUACGGGAAACCAAAGUGUUUGGGUUC